rnacentral:lncRNA from 1 species
AACUUGACAGUCUAUACCUAACUUUAGGCAGUUAUUUCUUUCUCCCUCUAUUGUUAUCUUGCUUUCUGUGUUUUCUCUUGAUCUUUAUUUUUAUUUAUUUGUUUGUUUGUUUACUUAUUUUGAGACAUGGAUUCUCUGUGUAGCUCUGGCUGGCCUCAAACUCAGAGCUCCCCCUGCCUCUGCUUCCCAAAUGCUGGGACUAAAGGUGUGCAUUACCACCGCCCGGCUUUCUCUUGAUCUUUAGUUAGUAAGUAAGUAAGUAAGUAGAUAAUUGUUGUUGUUACUUCCAAUAUCAAGACUAUUGACUAUGUAGUAUCAAGAAAUUGAUGCCAAGUAAUUUUACCUUCCUCCCUGGGCCCUGUGAUUGCCUUAUACAGAAUGUAAAAAUUGUUCUGAGCUCACUAAGCUUUAUUUCUUCUGAAAGCUCCGUAAUAUCAAAUCAAACCUCAUUUUCAUUCUUUUUUUUUUUUUUUUUUUCCGAGACAGGGUUUCUGUGUGUUAACCCUGGCUGUCCUGAAACUCACUCUGGCCUCGAGCUCAGAAAUCCUCCUGCCUCUGCCUCCCAAGUGCUGGGAUUAAAGGCGUGCGCCACCACUGCCCCUCAGUUUCAUUCUUACUAUGCAGCUAGUUAUUGACAGCACUUCUGGGGAAGAUGUACCAUAGUACGAUGGUUUCCCAGUAACUCCAGUGCUACACUGGCUGACCAGUGGGCCCUGGGGAUCCUUUUGUCUCUGCCUUCCAGCUUUGGCAGAUGCUAGGAAUCCAAACUCAGGUCUUUGUGAUUGGCAAAAGGAAUUUUACCUCUUGUUGAGCCCGCUCCCCAGCCCCGGAGUUACUUUAAUAAGUUCUUGAUGGUACAGUUUUUGAUAAUGUAUAAGGAAUUUAAUAUUCAUUUUUAAAGUAUCCUAUUUUCUAUGAAGGCCACAUAGUUGUUUUUAUAACUCUUUUGGUGGUGUUAAAAGUACUAUCUUGCUGGGUAUGAUGAUGGUGCAUACCUUCAAUCGCAGUCCUCAGGAGUUGGGGCAGGUAGAUCUCCGUAAGUUUAAGGCCAUCCUGGUCUACACAGUAAGUUGCAGAACAGCCAGGGCUAUAUAGAGUGAUCCUGCUUCAAACAAAGCAAAACAAAAAUACUAUUUUAAUUACUUCCAAGUAACUAAUUGGUUUCAGCUUUUGUUUCUCUGUGGGGUGAAGGGGUAGGGAGCUAGAGGAGUGAGGAGGCAGGGAACCCUGGGCUCUGUAUGUCAUAGGCACAAUCUGCCAUGAGCUGUACCCACAUUCUCAUUCCCCCAGCAUAUUACUCUCCUUCCAGAGCUCAUCAGGUAGGGAACAGAAUAUAAUUCAGAGAAUUCAGGAGGCCUUACACAGGGGUAUUCUAAGCUGUUGGAAGUAUCCAUUUCUCUUCGUUUUUAUGUGAUUGCCUAUAUUUCAUCCAUAGAGUCUUCCUACACAUGGCUUCUCAUAUUAGCAGAAAGUUAUACAAUUGCAACAGUUUCUUUAUAUGAAUACAUAAUUCAUUCACAGCAAGCUUUUUGCUGGCACCUCUUGAUCUUCCCCCACGCCUCCGUAUGCUGUGCGCUGCACUUCUGUUAGUCCAAGUGUGGCUUAGAAGACUGCCGUGGGAAUAAAGUGAGGUAAUAAAUAUGUAAAACUGUCACUAGUAUUUUUUCUGCUGAUUUGCAAGACAAAAGGUACAUAUAAUUAAGACGUUUCUUCCAGAAAUCUUUGUUGUAUAUGUUUGUUUUAAAUGAAAUCCAGCAAUAGACAACUUAGGCUCUAGUUAUGAAAUUUUGACAGUCCUUAGGAUUGAUCUAAAACUGAGUGAUGACUACAUUCUGUUAAUGUUGUCUUGAAACUAUCUUUGAAUCCAAGAAAUACAAAGUGGCAACAUAUUAUUGACUUACUGGAUAAACAAUUCAAGGAUAAGAGGAUUAAUGCGAUAGUACAAGGUCUAACUAUGUUUUUAUGGGUGAUAAACUGACUGUGCUUUGGCAUUUUAAAAACUUUGAUGUAAUAGCUUUGCUGGCACCUAAAACUACAUUGCUGACUUUUGCAUUGAGUUAUUUC